rnacentral:tRNA from 1 species
AAUUUUUUAGUAUAUUUGUACACUUAGCUUCCAACUAAAAAGACUAAUUAUUUAGAAAAAUUA